UAUCAUUAACUGAAUCCAUAGGUUAAUGAGGCGAACCGGGGGAACUGAAACAUCUAAGUACCCCGAGGAAAAGAAAUCAACCGAGAUUCCCCCAGUAGCGGCGAGCGAACGGGGAGGAGCCCAGAGCCUGAAUCAGCAUGUGUGUUAGUGGAAGCGUCUGGAAAGGCGCGCGAUACAGGGUGACAGCCCCGUACACAAAAGCGCAUGUGCUGUGAGCUCGAUGAGUAGGGCGGGACACGUGGUAUCCUGUCUGAAUAUGGGGGGACCAUCCUCCAAGGCUAAAUACUCCUGACUGACCGAUAGUGAACCAGUACCGUGAGGGAAAGGCGAAAAGAACCCCGGCGAGGGGAGUGAAAAAGAACCUGAAACCGUGUACGUACAAGCAGUGGGAGCCCCACCACUAAGCCAGUGGUGAACUCCACAUACGCAUCCUUUGCUGAGGAUACGGUUAACGGAGCGAAAGCGACGUUCAACCGCAAAAGAAGCAGAGGGGGCUUA
rnacentral:rRNA from 1 species